GACGAACGCUGGCGGCGUGCUUAACACAUGCAAGUCGAACGGAAAGGCCCUGCUUUUGUGGGGUGCUCGAGUGGCGAACGGGUGAGUAACACGUGAGUAACCUGCCCUUGACUUUGGGAUAACUUCAGGAAACUGGGGCUAAUACCGGAUAGGAGCUCCUGCUGCAUGUUGGGGGUUGGAAAGUUUCGGCGGUUGGGGAUGGACUCGCGGCUUAUCAGCUUGUUGGUGGGGUAGUGGCUUACCAAGGCUUUGACGGGUAGCCGGCCUGAGAGGGUGACCGGGCACAUUGGGAAUGAGAUACGGGCCAGACUCCUACGGGAGGCAGCAGGGGGGAAUAUUGCAAAAUGGGGGGAAGCCGGAUGCAGCAACGCCGCGGGCGGGAAGAAGGCCUUCGGGUUGUAAACCGCUUUCGCCUGUGACGAAGCGUGAGUGACGGUAAUGGGUAAAGAAGCACCGGCUAACUACGUG
rnacentral:rRNA from 1 species